rnacentral:rRNA from 1 species
CAAGUCGAACGAGAAAGUGGAGCAAUCCAUGAGUAAAGUGGCGCACGGGUGAGUAACACGUGACUAACCUACCCUUGAGUGGGGAAUAACCUAGGGAAACCUGGGCUAAUACCGCAUAACACCUACGGGUCAAAGGAGCAAUUCGCUUAAGGAGGGGGUCGCGGCAGAUUAGCUAGUUGGCGGGGUAAUGGCCCACCAAGGCGGUGAUCUGUAUCCGGCCUGAGAGGGCGCACGGACACACUGGAACUGAAACACGGUCCAGACUCCUACGGGAGGCAGCAGUGGGGAAUUUUGCGCAAUGGGGGAAACCCUGACGCAGCAACGCCGCGUGGAGGAUGAAGUCCCUUGGGACGUAAACUCCUUUCGAUCGGGACGAUUAUGACGGUACCGGAGGAAGAAGCCCCGGCUAACUUCGUGCCAGCAGCCGCGGUAAUACGAGGGGGGCAAGCGUUGUUCGGAAUUAUUGGGCGUAAAGGGUGCGUAGGCGGUUCGGUAAGUCUUAUGUGAAAUCUUCAGGCUCAACUUGAAGUCUGCAUGAGAAACUGCCGGGCUUGAGUGUGGGAGAGGUGAGUGGAAUUUCCGGUGUAGCGGUGAAAUGCGUAGAUAUCGGAAGGAACACCUGUGGCGAAAGCGGCUCACUGGACCAUAACUGACGCUGAUGCACGAAAGCUAGGGGAGCAAACAGGAUUAGAUACCCUGGUAGUCCUAGCCCUAAACGAUGAUCGCUUGGUGUGACGGGUACCCAAUCCCGCCGUGCCGAAGCUAACGCGUUAAGCGAUCCGCCUGGGGAGUACGGUCGCAAGGCUGAAACUCAAAGGAAUUGACGGGGCCCGCACAAGCGGUGGAGCAUGUGGUUUAAUUCGACGCAACGCGAGAACCUUACCUGGGCUCGAAAUGUACAGGAAUCCUGGUGGAAACAUCGGCGCCCGCAAGGGGCCUGUAUAUAGGUGCUGCAUGGCUGUCGUCAGCUCGU